GCUCCAGUUACAGCAUCAGAUGGGGAGUUUGACUGGAGUGGUACACCCAUCAAACCAUAAAGCAGAUGCCCUAAUGCAAUCUUAGUCAGGGUGGAAGCCUCCUGCGCAGAAGGGUAAAAGCUUCCUUUAUCUUGACUUUCAGUGUGAUUACAGAUGAGGAAAGCAGUCCCUCACAAUGCUUCUGACUUUUGGGGGUUUGCCCCAAACAUGCCUGUCUCAUAUUAUGUUUAUGCCUGUAAAUUUUAAUUGUUUUUGAGAAAGAGGUUUAUAACCAUUAGAGCUGAAAAUGGAAGAUAU
rnacentral:ncRNA from 1 species